UGGGGAAUUUUGGACAAUGGGGGAAACCCUGAUCCAGCCAUCCCGCGUGUGCGAUGAAGGCCUUCGGGUUGUAAAGCACUUUUGGCAGGAAAGAAACGUCAUGGGUUAAUACCCCGUGAAACUGACGGUACCUGCAGAAUAAGCACCGGCUAACUACGUGCCAGCAGCCGCGGUAAUACGUAGGGUGCAAGCGUUAAUCGGAAUUACUGGGCGUAAAGCGUGCGCAGGCGGUUCGGAAAGAAAGAUGUGAAAUCCCAGAGCUCAACUUUGGAACUGCAUUUUUAACUACCGGGCUAGAGUGUGUCAGAGGGAGGGGGAAUUCCGCGUGUAGCAGUGAAAGGCGUAGAUAUGCGGAGGAACACCGAUGGCGAAGGCAGCCUCCUGGGAUAACACUGACGCUCAUGCACGAAAGCGUGGGGAGCAAACAGG
rnacentral:rRNA from 1 species